GUUCGUUGCUCAGUGGUUUGAAUGCUGCCCUGUCGCUGCGGAAGUUGCAGGUUCGAGUCCUGAUCAUGGCA